CGCCCCCGCGCCGCCGCCCUGUAUGUUGCCCACCUCGGCCUCUGGGGCAUGGAGCACGCUGCCCAGCCCUGGCGACGGCGACGGCGACUGCGGUGGUGGAGGAGCGCCUGCUGGCCGCGCUCGCCUACUUGCAGUGCGCCGUGGGCUGCGCGCGGUCUUCGAGCGGAAUAGUCAGACGAACUCAGUGUACGGCCGCCACGCGCCGCCCAGCCGCAGGCUCCGAGAGCCGGCGCAGGCCGCCUGGGUGGUGCAGGGGCUGCCCUUGCUGGCCCUGCCGCUCUACCAGUACCCCAGCGAGUCCACCCCGCGCCUCCGCAGCGCGCCCAACUGCAUCCUCCUGGCCAUGUUCUUCGUCCACUACCGGCAUCGGUUUUGGCUUGUGCUUAACGGGCAUGUUGAUAAACAUCCAUUCAGAUCAUAUCCUAAGGAAUCUCAGAAAAACAGGAGAUACUGGAUACAAAAUACCAAGGGGAGGCUUAUUUGAAUACGUAACUGCAGCCAACUAUUUUGGAGAAAUCAUGGAGUGGUGUGGCCAUGCCCCAGCCAGCUGGUCUGUCCAAGGAGCGGCUUUUGCUUUCUUCACAUUUUGUUCUUUAUCUGGUAGAGCAAAAGAGCAUCAUGAGUGGUACCUCCGGAAAUUUGAAGAGCAUCCAAAGUUCAGAAAAAUUAUAAUUCCAUUUUUGUUUUAA